rnacentral:rRNA from 1 species
UUGGAGGGCAAGUCUGGUGCCAGCAGCCGCGGUAAUUCCAGCUCCAAUAGCGUAUAUUAAAGUUGUCGCAGUUAAAAAGCUCGUAGUUGAAUUUCGGGAUUGACGUGAUGGUCAUGCCUUAAGGGGUAUGAACUGUCACAGUUGAUUUCUCACCUUCUGGAGAAACUUGAUGUCCUUUAUUGGGUGUCUUGCGGAUCCAGGACCUUUACCUUGAAAAAAUUAGAGUGUUUAAAGCAGGCAUUUUUGCUCGAAUACAUUAGCAUGGAAUAAUAGAAUAGGACGGCAUGGUUCUAUUUUGUUGGUUUCUAGGAUCACCGUAAUGAUUAAUAGGGAUAGUUGGGGGCAUUAGUAUUCAAUUGUCAGAGGUGAAAUUCUUGGAUUUAUUGAAGACUAACUACUGCGAAAGCAUUUGCCAAGGAUGUUUUCAUUAAUCAAGAACGAAAGUUAGGGGAUCGAAGACGAUCAGAUACCGUCGUAGUCUUAACCAUAAACUAUGCCGACUAGGGAUCGGACGGUGUUAUUUUUUGACCCGUUCGGCACCUUACGGGAAAC